GUCAUCUACUCGUUCUUCAUCAUGUGUUUGUUUCAGACAGCAGAGUCACAGCUGUGUGACAUCACACACCGUGGAGGGAAGCUGCUCGGCCUGCUGGGUAAAAAUCAGCCCACAUGAGCCAAUCAGGAGAAAGUUCCCCGACUCACAUGGAGGAAGAGGAAGAGGAGGAGAGGAGGAGGAGGAGGAGGAGGAGGAGGAGGAGUGUUGUGGGCAGCUGUUGCUUUCUCCCUGUUCAGCAGCUCUGAUGAAGACCUCAGAGAUGAAGCUCAGAGGAAGGAGGAUGAGUUGGUCCUGCUGCUGAAGAAGGCGAAGCUCAGUGUGUAUCGAGGACAGCUGCAGGCCGCAUCCACUUUCCUCCAUCAGGCCGUCGUGUUGGCUCAUCAGACCCACAACAACCAGGCCAUCAUCUACACCUACAGCCAGAUGGCGAAUCUGGCGUACGUUCAGGGUCAGCUGGACAGUGCAGAAAAACUCUUCAAAGCAUCCAUGAGCUUCAUGCUGUCAGGAGGAACCCCACAGGUGUGUGUGUGUGUGUGUGUGUGUGUGUGUGUGUGUGUGUGUGUGUGUGUG